rnacentral:lncRNA from 1 species
CCACCAUUUUUAUGACAUUAAGGGUCUCUUGCUGUCAGGCUCUCUUCUGUGCCUCUUCUCCUCUCUUUCUCCACUCUUCUCCUCUGUCCCCUUCUCAUCUAGAGCGUAACUCACAUGUUCGUACUCACACUCACAUGUAAAGUCAAAGUACUUCCCCGUAUCGGUACCAUCUUCAUGCAUCAUAGCCAAGUCCUCUACAGUCUAAGUUACAGAUAAUUGAAUUGGAUUUGUCGGAUGAGCUGAUACAGUAACGGCGUCCAUGGCUAUCGAUCCCUUGGCAAUGGCUAAGACCAGCUCCGAUAUUGCAGCCAAGAGGAUUUCAUAAGGGGGGAAGAAAAAACACUCCAGCCUUUUCCAGAAAUAUAAUGGUUCUUGUAUCGAAAAGGAUUAGGGUUCAGGCGACUGGCGUGGUGCUUCCCGUCUGGGCUUCUCUGUGCUGCGGUUCUCAGCUCUGGGGAGGGAGGUGUGUGGACCCACAGCGUCAAAGGCUACCCUGGACAGCCUCCAAGAGCCCUCAAUGCAUACGUAUGACUUCACAAAAAGGGGUUGCAACCCCCUAAGCCCUGCACUCAGCUGGCUGGAAUAUUGUAAUGAUUGUAAUGUAAUGUGUCAUAUCAGCAUUAAGAGACGAUGAGAGAGAGAGAGAAAGAGAGAGAGAGAGAGAGAGAGAGAGAGAGAGAGAUGUGAGAAGGGAAGUGGGGGAAAGCAAUGAGACCAGGCUGAACUGUUAAAUAGGACAAUAUCUGCA